rnacentral:pre_miRNA from 1 species
CGGUCAAUGUGGGAUGUCGUAGUGCUAUUGUAUUAUCACAGCCAGCAUUGAUGAGCC